AUGUCGAUUCUGCGCUUCUCAGUAACUACGUGAGUUGGGGCUUUCUCAUGUGCCAAGACUGGUCUCGAAGUACUGGACUCAAGCAAUCCCCCCACCUUGACCUCCCAAAGUGCUGGGAUUACAGGCCGAGCUAUGACACCCAGCCUUCAGUUAUACAUUUCAAAGAACGUAAAAUAAUUUCCAUUAUAUUCAUUUAUUCUUUCACUCAUCUAAAUACUUAUUGAGCAUGUACUGUGUGAACUGACGCUACGUGCCGGGGAUCCAGAAGUGAACGAGCCAGACGAGGUGCUGCCCUUGUGGACCUUAAAUUCUAUUUAGGGAAGAGAAACAAUAAACAUGUAAACACAUUCCAGAUUACCUGCAGCAAUGGACACACCUUGUAACAGAUACACAGGAAAAUUAGAAGGGGAAACUCUAGAUCAGUGCUUCUGAAAUUUUUAAAGCACAAUCACUUUGGGGUCUGGUUAAAAUGUAGCUUUUCCUUCAGUGGGUCUGUGGUGGGGCCUAAGACUCUGCAUUUCCAGAGAAAACACAACACAAAAUGAAAUGCUUGCAGGCAACACUGACGCUUCUGGUCUGAAGCCCACACUUGGAGAUCCAUAGCUGUGGGCAGAGAAGGGGUGCAGCAAGCUCCUCUAGCUUGAUGGUCGGGAAGGACCUUUUCCAGGAAUGAAGUUUUGAAUGAGAUCCUGAGUGAUGGUAAGCAAUCGGUCUCAUGAGCAAUGGCAAGUCAAAGGCCUUGAGGUAGGAAUGAGCUGUGGGUGUGCCAAGGAAGGCUGUCGAGGCUGGGGCAUGGUGAUUGAGGAGAGUGACAGGAGAACUGGGAGCGAGUCCAAUCAUUUACAUUAUUUAGGACCUUGUGUGUAGGCCAUGCCGAAGAGUUUGAAUUUUAUUCUAAUUGCAAUGAAAGACGUUUAGUAGCUUUCAAACUGGAGAGUGAGAUAAGCUUAUUUAUGAUCACUCUUCACUGCUGCAUAAAGAACAAACUGCUGGGGGCCAGAGUACAGACGGG
rnacentral:lncRNA from 1 species